rnacentral:rRNA from 1 species
UACGAAGGGGGCUAGCGUUGCUCGGAAUUACUGGGCGUAAAGCGCACGUAGGCGGCUUUGCAAGUCAGAGGUGAAAGCCCGGGGCUCAACCCCGGAAUUGCCUUUGAGACUGCAUCGCUAGAAUUGUGGAGAGGUAAGUGGAAUUCCGAGUGUAGAGGUGAAAUUCGUAGAUAUUCGGAAGAACACCAGUGGCGAAGGCGACUUACUGGACACAUAUUGACGCUGAGGUGCGAAAGCGUGGGGGAGCAAACAGG